GGCUUAGAGUUUGAUCAUGGCUCAGGAUGAACGCUGGCGGCGUGCUUAACACAUGCGAGUCGAACGGACAAAGAAGAUUUCGGUUUUCUUUGUUAGUGGCGGACGGGUGAGUAACGCGUGGGCAACCUACCUUAUACAGGGGGAUAACAGUUAGAAAUGACUGAUAAUACCGCAUAAGCGCCCGAGGUCGCAUGACCUUGAGUGAAAAACUCCGGUGGUAUAAGAUGGGCCCGCGUCUGGUUAGCUAGUUGGUAAGGUAACGGCUUACCAAGGCGACGAUCAGUAGCCGACCUGAGAGGGUGAUCGGCCACAUUGGGACUGAGACACGGCCCAAACUCCUACGGGAGGCAGCAGUGGGGAAUAUUGCACAAUGGGGGAAACCCUGAUGCAGCGACGCCGCGUGACUGAAGAAGUAUUUCGGUAUGUAAAGGUCUAUCAGCAAGGAAGAAGAGAGACGGUACUUGACUAAGAAGCCCCGGCUAACUACGUGCCAGCAGCCGCGGUAAUACGUAGGGGGCAAGCGUUAUCCGGAUUUACUGGGUGUAAAGGGAGCGUAGGUGGUAAGGCAAGCCAGAAGUGAAAGCCCGGGGCUCAACCCCGAGGAUUGCUUUUGGAACUGUCGAACUAGAGUGCAGGAGGGGCAAGCG
rnacentral:rRNA from 1 species